GCAGCUCCCAUCUAAAUCCCCAAAUUUCUAAACAGACAAGCGACAAUUCUGUGAUUGAGCAAAUUCAACCCAAACAAGAAGAUGAAGAAUUGCUACGGCUUUUGUUGCCUAAUCUGGACGAAUUGCCGCAAGUUCCCCCUUCCUCUAUUGAAGCCAAUUUCACAACUUUUUUCGCUCCGGGCUAUGUAUAAUUGGUUUGGCUCCGCGCCACGUGGCAUUGAAGGAGAAUGGGGGGAUUGUUUCCAUCGAUUUUAACGUUGGGAAAUCGGACGGGAGCGGAAUGAAAGUCACUGGAAAGCGCAAAAAGAUUUUGCUUCAGUUUGAUGCUCAGCGGCUCCAUGUGCUCUGACACUACCAAAGUGUUUCAAAGGUGAAGUUAUUUUGACGUAGGUCUGCCUUUGGCCUCGAAUUUGAAGUUAAAUGAAGUUUCUAUUGUUCGGCUUAAAAAUUCUAAUAUGAAACUUCAUACACCUUCAUGUUCAUAGGACGAGAAGAGAUUUUUUGAGGGCCUUAUACUCAUUAUGCCUGGCAUUGAAUAUACGGGUAUUCACCUUAUCAAUAUCUCAAGAUGGGGUCUGUUUGAUACCUAAAAGGGCUAUAUGAGUGUUAUUUAACUCCUAUAGAUCGAGAGUGAAAGCCUAGGCAGUAUAAAUUCUGUUAACCUUCACUAAUACGAUACGUUUUAUGUUCAAUGAGGGUAAUCUUUCUUCCGCUGAUAACUAACUCGGCACCAAUUGCUAAUUGUGCCUGAUGCAAUUGUAAUUCAUCUGACCUUUGCAACACAUCUGUUAGAAAAUUCUCCUAUUGAAAAGUGUGUGGAAACUCUUUUGCUUUUUGUGGUAAAAAAAUUCUGUUUUAGACAUAAUACACAGAGUCCAUCUGAAGUAGGUAUUUAGUGAAGUAAAUACACAAAGCUAGCUAAUUAGGAGGCUUUAAGUUACGCGUGUCAAUAAGCUUAUAUUUCUCCUACAUGUAAGGAUCCAGAGGUAUUAAUUCUUUUAUUGUUGACAGAGGAUGUUCCUACAAGUUUAAGUCGAUCCUUUUUAGUGUAGAUCUUUCGUGUUUGCAUUUUUGGAUGUGUUGCAGAAAUAUAUGAGUAGUAGUACUUAGCGAAAAGAGCUAUUUCACAAUUGAAGGUCAAGUCUCAUUAUAUAUCUGAUAGAUUGGAGUUUAUAAUCAUGUUCUUUUUUUCAGAAUGCACAGCAUUUUGAAUCCAACACGGCUUUAUGUAAAGUGUUGAUUGCUGAGGUUUCUUACAUAGUGAGGUUAAAUUUGUCUUAUUCUUACCUCUAAAUCAUGUUGUUCUUGAUUAAUCAGAACUCAGAUUUCAUUUACUCUUCCAGAUGUUGUGUAAAAGGGUCUCUAUUGGAAGUGAAUGAUAGGCUAAUCAAGCAACCGGAAUUGAUUAACAUG